AUACGGAGGAUGCGAGCGUUAUCCGGAUUUAUUGGGUUUAAAGGGAGCGUAGGCGGGAGCUUAAGUCAGCGGUUAAAUGGUGCGGCUCAACCGUGCCCUGCCGUUGAAACUGGGUUUCUUGAGAGUGCAAGAGGCGGAUGGAAUUCAUGGGGUAGCGGGGAAAUGCUUAGAUAUCAUGAAGAACUCCGAUUGCGGAGGCUGUCCGCGGGGGCACGUCUGGCGCUGAUGCUCGAAGGUGCGGGAAUCAAACAGGAUUAGAUACCCUGGUAGUCCGCACGGUAAGCGAUGAUUACCCGCUGUCGGCGGUAGACAGUCGGCGGCCAAGCGAAAGCGAUAAGUAAUCCGCCUGGGGAGUACGCCGGCAACGUUGAAACUCAAAGGAAUUGACGGGG
rnacentral:rRNA from 1 species